UACGUAGGUGUCAAGCGUUGUCCGGAUUUAUUGGGCGUAAAGCGCCCGCAGGCGGCUUGCCAAGUUCGAUGUGAAAUCUCCCGGCUCAACUGGGAGGGUGCAUCGAAAACUGGCAGGCUUGAGGCAGGGAGAGGGAUGUGGAAUUCCAGGUGUAGUGGUGAAAUGCGUAGAUAUCUGGAGAAACACCAGUGGCGAAGGCGGCAUCCUGGCCCUGUCCUGACGCUCAGGGGCGAAAGCGUGGGGAGCAAACCGG
rnacentral:rRNA from 1 species